rnacentral:rRNA from 1 species
GAGUUUGAUCCUGGCUCAGAACGAACGCUGGCGGCGUGCCUAACACAUGCAAGUCGAACGUGAUCCAGAGCUUGCUCUGGUGAAAGUGGCGCACGGGUGAGUAACGCGUGGAUAACCUACCCUGGUAUCCGGGAUAACAUUCCGAAAGGGGUGCUAAUACCGGAUAAGCCCACGGGCUCUUUGGAGCUUGCGGGAAAAAGUGGCCUCUAUUUAUAAGCUACUGUAUCAGGAUGGGUCCGCGUACCAUUAGCUAGUUGGCGGUGUAACGGACCACCAAGGCGACGAUGGUUAGCUGGUCUGAGAGGAUGAUCAGCCACACUGGAACUGAGACACGGUCCAGACUCCUACGGGAGGCAGCAGUGGGGAAUUUUGCGCAAUGGGGGAAACCCUGACGCAGCAACGCCGCGUGAGUGAUGAAGGCCUUUGGGUCGUAAAGCUCUGUCAGAGGGGAAGAAAUGAUAUAGUGCUAAUACCACUUUAUCUUGACGGUACCCUCAAAGGAAGCACCGGCUAACUCCGUGCCAGCAGCCGCGGUAAUAC